AAACUAAAGUUUGCCGUUCUAGAGAUUGAAAUUUAAUAAGACAAGGUUUCAUCGGAAUAUCAGUUUUACUCUUAAGACCCGUCUACUGUUCGUGCUUCAGAGGCGAACCAGGAUUAGUUGCUUGCCGGUUAUCACGGGGAUUAGCAAGCAGGUUAUGAUCUGAGAGAGUCUGGUGAUCUCCGCAUUUACUUUUCCUCGGAGGUUCCUUUUAUUUUAAUAAACUGUAAAACUGUUUUAUUCUUAGACCGCAGUAGUUGACUAGACGUCUUUGUUAUUAUUACAGUUGUUUGUCGGAUUGUUCUGACUAGUUAUAUUGCUCUGGCAUGUUAUAUAAUUAUUUCGGAUUAUUUA